UCUAUGCCAGGCACUCUGUGUCUCCCUGGACACAACAAUGUAUGGCUUAGGGAUGAGUAUACCUACUUCUCAAGUGAGGAAAUAGAAAUUUACCCAAGGUUUUCAACUCCUAAGUGAUGGAAGGACAUCCAGGACGUUGCUGCACCAAACCUCACAGAUACUUUAUCAAAAGCAAGCUGAAAAUUGUCUAGGAUCAGGCCACAGAGGCGUGGAUUUCUGGAUGUCUUGUGCAGUGUUUUAACCCUAACAACCAGUACAGCACCUGGCACAAGGUUCCACCACCUCCCAGUAGCUCUCUGGGCUGGAGACCAGUCUUCAACACAUGCCUUUGGGGCACACUCCAGACGCAAACUGCACCAGGUCCCCUGCUUAUCUCAACAUGGUGGAGAAGUAGGUAUGUGCAAAGGAAGCAAGAGAGAGAGAGAGAGAGAGAGCCCAGGAAGGCAACUUCCUUUUAUAAAAUCUGUUCUCAUGGUAACUGAUCCAAUCCCUUAAGAACACACUAAAAAAAAAAAAAAAAAGACGUGAUGGAGCUCAGUGGUAGAGCUUUUAUCCAGCAUGU